rnacentral:rRNA from 1 species
GGGUCCCACGGGCGCAGCAGUGGGGGAUAUUGCACAAUGGGGGAAACCCUGAUGCAGCGACGCCGCGUGGGCGAAGAAGUAUUUCGGUAUGUAAAGCCCUAUCAGCAGGGAAGAAGAAAUGACGGUACCUGAGUAAGAAGCAUCGGCUAAAUACGUGCCAGCAGCCGCGGUAAUACGUAUGGUGCAGGCGUUAUCCGGAUUUACUGGGUGUAAAGGGAGCGCAGGCGGCACGGCAAGCCUGAUGUGAAAGCCCGCGGCCCAACCGCGGGACUGCAUUGGGAACUACCGGGCUGGAGUGCCGGAGG